rnacentral:misc_RNA from 1 species
AACGCACCUUGCACGCGCUGGGGAACCAGCGCGUAUGCCUGUUUGAGAAUCGCCUACACCUUGGCCGCCAGCUGUGCGGCUGCGUUGGGGGUCAGGCCUUGGCGGUCCGUCCUCCUAAAUGGAGCAGUGGGGUCCUGCAGUGUCCUCUGUGUGCUGGAGACCGGUCGAGUCUACUCACGGGGGGCGCGGCAUGUGCGCGUCUGGCUUUUGCCUUUGGCUCCUGCCUCUGGCUUUUGCCUCACCGCCAGCCCCGCUAAGCGGAGCGAGCUGCAACGAAACGGAGCAGCAAGCAAAACCACACCACAACCACAACCACGAUCUCAAAUCAGGCAAGACCACCCGCCGAACUUAA